rnacentral:rRNA from 1 species
AACGAACGCUGGCGGCGUGGAUUAGGCAUGCAAGUCGAACGAGAAUCUGGAGGUUCAAGUUUUCGGACAAGAACUUUCGGAGGAAAGUGGCGGAAGGGUGAGUACAACAUGGAUAAUCUACCUUCAAGUUGGGUAUAGCUUCCCGAAAGGGGAGAUAAUCCCGAAUGUGGUGAUCCGGCGCCUGUCGGAGAAUCCAAAGGUGGGGACCGCAAGGCCUGCCGCUUGAAGAUGAGUCCGUGCACUAUCAGCUAGUUGGUGAGGUAAUGGCUCACCAAGGCGAUGACGGUUAGCUGGUCUGAGAGGAUGAUCAGCCACACUGGAACUGAGACACGGUCCAGACUCCUACGGGAGGCAGCAGUGAGGAAUAUUGCGCAAUGGGGGCGAACCCUGACGCAGCAACGCCGCGUGAGUGAGGAAGGUUUUCGGACCGUAAAGCUCUGUCGAGCGGGAAGAAAUGCAUGGUGGCUAAUAUCCAUCAUGCUUGAC